AGGGUUUGAUCAUGGCUCAGAUUGAACGCUGGCGGUAUGCUUAACACAUGCAAGUCGAACGGUAACAUAGCUAGCUUGCUAGCUGAUGACGAGUGGCGGACGGGUGAGUAAUGCAUAGGAAUCUGCCUAUUAGUGGGGGACAACCUGUGGAAACGCAGGCUAAUACCGCAUAAGCCCUACGGGGGAAAGCGGGGGAUCUUCGGACCUCGCGCUAAUAGAUGAGCCUAUGUCAGAUUAGCUAGUUGGUGAGGUAAUGGCUCACCAAGGCGACGAUCUGUAGCUGGUCUGAGAGGAUGAUCAGCCACACUGGGACUGAGACACGGCCCAGACUCCUACGGGAGGCAGCAGUGGGGAAUAUUGGACAAUGGGCGAAAGCCUGAUCCAGCAAUACCGCGUGUGUGAAGAAGGCCUGAGGGUUGUAAAGCACUUUCAAUAGUGAGGAAUACCUGGAAGUUAAUACUUUCCAGACUGACAUUAGC
rnacentral:rRNA from 1 species